AUUGAACGCUGGCGGCAGGCCUAACACAUGCAAGUCGAGCGAGCGGCGGACGGGUGAGUAAUGUAUGGGGACUGCCCGAUAGAGGGGGAUAACUACUGGAAACGGUGGCUAAUACCGCAUACUAUCGGAUAACCCAGAUGUGAUUAGAUAGUAGGUGGGGUAAUGGCUAACCUAGGCGACGAUCCUUAGCUGGUCUGAGAGGAUGAUCAGCCACACUGGAGCGUAGAAACGGCCCAGACCCCUACGGAGGCAGCAGUGGGGAAUAUUGCACAAUGGGCGCAAGCCGGAUGCAGCCAUGCCGCGUGUAUGAAGAAGGCCUUAGGGUUGUAAAGUACUUUCAGCGGGGAGGCGUUACCCGCAGAAGAAGCACCGGCUAACUCCGUGCCAGCAGCCGCGGUAAUAC
rnacentral:rRNA from 1 species